CAUUGUGGUUUUCUAAUGAUUUGAAGCCACUCACCACUUGGAAAACAUUCCACAAUCCUCCCUCUUCCAUUUUCAUCCAAAAAUCGAUGGAUUUUGGCCUAGGUUUUGUGGAUGUCGCGUCAAUAGGCUUCAGGGAUGCACGACGACGAAUGGUCAAUUCCGCAAGCAUCAUCGUCGAUCACCACCAUCAAUCAACUCCUCUUGAGCCUAGGAAAAAACCCCAAAAAAGUUUGGGGGGCGAUGGAGCACCAGAGAAGACGAAUCGAAGUGCACCCAUUUCAAGGGUUUAUGGUGGAUCAAGGCCAUUUCAGGCAUCUUCCUAGCCGAAUUAGACUUUGGCCCAGGAUCUACGGUUGCAAUGCUUUUGAUGAAUGAAGGAGGAAGCUACUACUCUUAUGGAGCUUCUUUGGCAUAAUAGUGAUUAUUUGACGACUUCUCCAAACUUGGCUACUCAGCCUUUCAAAUACAGAGCUAGGGAUGAGAAAUGAGUCAGAUGAGCUAGAAUUGGGAUUGUACUGUUCUAAAUUAUUCGUUUAGAUACCAAUAAAAGAUAUGGUUGCCCAAUUUAGUUUUGCAUUUUCAAUGUCUUAAUCAUUUUCCUUUUA